CGGAGCGUGUUGGUUUAAUUCGAUGCUACAUAGAGACCUACAGGUUUGACAUACUGGUGGUAGGAAUCGAAAGAGGACCGACCCUUCGGGGAGCCAGUACAGGUGCUGCAUGGCUGUCGUCAGCUCGUGUCGUGAGAUGUUCGGUUAAGUCCGCUAACGAGCGCAACCCUCGCCGUGUGUUAUACGUGUCACGCGGGACCGCCGGUAUCAAGCCGGAGGAAGGUGAGGAUGACGUCAAGUCAGCAUGGCCUUUAUAUCCUGGGCUACACACACGCUACAAUGGCCAACACAACAGGUUGCGAAACCGCGAGGUGGAGCCAAUCCCCAAAGUUGGUCUCAGUUCAGAUUGCAGGCUGCAACUCGCCUGCAUGAAGUCGGAGUUGCUAGUAACGGCAGGUCAGCAUACUGCCGUGAAUACGUUCCCGGGCCUU
rnacentral:rRNA from 1 species